rnacentral:tRNA from 1 species
GGCCUUGUGGUGGAAAUGGUAGACACUACGCAGCGGCAGUAUAUGCCAAAGCUGGAUUACAGGUUCGAGUCCUGUCAAGGCCU